UGGGGAAUCUUGCACAAUGGGGGAAACCCUGAUGCAGCGACGCCGCGUGAGUGAUGAAGCCCUUCGGGGUGUAAAGCUCUUUCGGCAGGAACGAUAAUGACGGUACCUGCAGAAGAAGCUGCGGCUAACUACGUGCCAGCAGCCGCGGUAAUACGUAGGCAGCAAGCGUUGUUCGGAGUUACUGGGCGUAAAGAGUGUGUAGGCGGUUUUCUAAGUUCGGUGUGAAAUCUCCCGGCUCAACUGGGAGGGUGCGCCGAAGACUGGGAGGCUUGAGUGCGGGAGAGGAAAGCGGAAUUCCUGGUGUAGCGGUGAAAUGCGUAGAUAUCAGGAGGAACACCUGCGGUGUAGACGGCUUUCUGGACCGUAACUGACGCUGAGACACGAAAGCGUGGGGAGCAAACAGGAUUAGAUACCCUGGUAGUCCACGCCCUAAACGAUGAUGACUAGUUGUUGGGGGAGUUAAAUCCCUUAGUAACGCAGCUAACGCGUGAAGUCAUCCG
rnacentral:rRNA from 1 species